rnacentral:rRNA from 1 species
GAUGAACGCUGGCGGCGUGCCUAAUACAUGCAAGUCGAGCGAACAGACGAGGAGCUUGCUCCUCUGACGUUAGCGACGGACGGGUGAGUAACACGUGGAUAACCUACCUAUAAGACUGGGAUAACUUCGGGAAACCGGAGCUAAUACCGGAUAAUAUAUUGAACCGCAUGGUUCAAUAGUGAAAGACGGUUUUGCUGUCACUUAUAGAUGGAUCCGCGCCGCAUUAGCUAGUUGGUAAGGUAACGGCUUACCAAGGCAACGAUGCGUAGCCGACCUGAGAGGGUGAUCGGCCACACUGGAACUGAGACACGGUCCAGACUCCUACGGGAGGCAGCAGUAGGGAAUCUUCCGCAAUGGGAGAAAGCUUGACGGAGCAACGCCGCGGGAGUGAUGAAGGUCGUCGGAUCGUAAAACUCUGUUAUUAGGGAAGAACAAAUGUGUAAGUAACUAUGCACGUCUUGACGGUACCUAAUCAGAAAGCCACGGCUAACUACGUG